rnacentral:rRNA from 1 species
CCUACGGGAGGCAGCAGUAGGGAAUAUUGCUCAAUGGGGGAAACCCUGAAGCAGCAACGCCGCGUGGAGGAUGAAGGUUCUCGGAUUGUUAACCCCUUUUGUUAGAGAAGAUAAUGACGGUAUCUAACGAAUAAGCACCGGCUAACUCCGUGCCAGCAGCCGCGGUAAUACGGAGGGUGCAAGCGUUACUCGGAUUCACUGGGCGUAAAGGGCGCGUAGGCGGGAUAGCAAGUCAGAUGUGAAAUGCCAUGGCUUAACCAUAGAACUGCAUUUGAAACUGUUAUUCUUGAGUAUGGGAGAGGUAGGUGGAAUUCGUGGUGUAGGGGUGAAAUCCGUAGAGAUCAAGAAGAAUACUCAUUGCGAAGGCGACCUGCUGGAACGUAACUGACGCUGAUGCGCGAAAGCGUGGGUAGCGAACAGGAUUAGAUACCCGUGUAGUC